rnacentral:rRNA from 1 species
CCUCGGGUGGCAGCAGUGGGGAAUAUUGCACAAUGGGGGGAACCCUGAUGCAGCGAAGCCGCGUGAGUGAAGAAGUAUUUUGGUAUGUAAAGCCCUAUCAGCAGGGAAGAAGAUGACGGUACCUGACUAAGAAGCCCCGGCUGACUACGUGCCAGCAGCCGCGGUAAUACGUAGGGGGCAAGCGUUAUCCGGAUUUACUGGGUGUAAAGGGAGCGUAGACGGCAGGGUAAGUCAGGAGUGAAAGCCCGGGGACCAACCCCGGGACUGAUUUGGAAAAUGGCAUGCGAGAGUGCAGGAGAGGCAAGCGGAAUUCCUGGUGUAGCGGUGAAAUGCGUAGAGAUUAGGAGGAACACCAGUGGCGAAGGCGGCUUACUGGACGGUAACUGACGUUGAGGCGCGAAAGCGUGGGGAGUAAACAGGAUUAGAUACCCGAGUAGUC